rnacentral:tRNA from 1 species
GUCUUCGUGGUGUAGUGGUCAGCACGCUCGACGCGUAACCGAGAGAUCCGUGGUUCGAUUCCCGGCGAAGGCG